GCCUUCGUAGCUCAGUGGGUAGAGCGUCGGACAGGAUAUCCGAAGGUCGUGGGUUCGGUUCCCACCGAAGGCA
rnacentral:tRNA from 1 species